AAAGAUGAGGCUAGCGCCUCUUUUCUAAAGAAAAACUCACGAGUCCCCUGUUUCAAAAUUGAUUACUCUGUGUUUCCUCUAUUCGGAACAACAAACAACAACCUUUUGGUUCUCGAUCUUACGGUUCAUCUACUCUCAUCGUAUCGGCCAUCAUCACUCUCUACCUCUCCGACGAACAAGAACAAUAACCAUGUAUCACAGUUUCACUCUUUCUUUUCUCACCGUCUCUCGUCGGAUUUUGAGGCUAACAAGCACAAUUUACAAAUCAGCAAGCAAUCAAAGAUAAUGAAAAUAAUCAUGAACGGAGAAAAUAAACAAAUCUACGGAAACACAAGCAUUCAAACGAUAAGGCAUUAUAGAGAGUAA